rnacentral:rRNA from 1 species
UAGUGACAGUACGUCUCGGUGAUCAACCGUACAUUAAUGGGUUAAAACCUCACUUCUUUUUAUUUUUGAAACCGUCGGUGUGGGAGUAAACUGGUAAGGAGACACAUAGACACGAAGACACUUUGUCGAACGGUACCACUACGGGUGACAAGAGUUGAGGGAUUGAAAAAAUACACACGAACGUCAAGAACGACGUCCAGCCCGACUUCCCGCCGUAGUACUGAGACUAACAGGAAGAAAGAGCACGCCGGGAGAACCUUUACAUAACAGGGGUAAAGCAGUCCGUUCACUAGGCGGACCGACGCCGAUAGCUAGAAUGCUCGACCAAACGUCACUAUGGUUCCGAUACUAAGUGUAGCCACUACGUUGUAUGAUACACAGACGGUAGUUGAUGUCACCAAGAAGGAAGACCCAGUAGCUACGGUUGUACCUAAAUGUGUUGUUGACGGGAGAUGGAGCCACCUUAGGAGGUAUGGUUGGGCUGUUGUACCUUUAGCUUAACUCGGGGGAACAUGUAUCACCCCGAACGAAACAUUUUACGAGAGUCCUUCAUUUCCCGUGACCAUGCAUGUACGGACAACGAACGGAUUCGUGGUUGCUAAGAAAACAAAUGCACAAUUGACCGAUACCCAGAUGUAUAUACCUCAUGGAACUUGGAAGAACACCCAUGAACCGGGCCUGAGGAGCUGGGACCCUGCCAGACCCCGAUCUUUUACGUUCAAUACGUCUACAACAUUUUAGGUACUCCUAACCUAAACGACAAGCCAAAGGAAUAGGAUCCCUCUCGUAGUUCGUUACGGAUUAUGUCUGAAAAACCGGGAAGAUACUCCAUGGUCAGAACUCAUUUCUUCCGUAGUUCAAUGCAUAAGAUAAGUCAGAACACCCACUAAGUAAAAAGAGCGCCACGCGUGAUCAACUACAGUAACCUAAAGGUGGUAAAGCUCCACAUCAGUAUUAUUAGCAGAAGACCUAAACCUUCACCGACCGACACAACACGUCCAAGCACAACCGCGGCGAACAACACAACUAAAAGGAUCGGAUGUUCAUGACCUUUUGUUCUUAUUGUUAGCUACGUCAGCUCUUCAAGGAGGCAUACGUCGUUUACGAGCCAGGCUGCUCCAUGCGGAUGUGGCUGUAGUGACGUUAGUGUUCGGUAAAGUCUCUAUUCGACCCAGUCCCUCCGAUACCGAGGCACAAGUUCCCACACAAUAGUGGUCCGUUACAGGUACAGCGCCAGUUCUACGACCUCGCAUCGAGUUUGACGCUACCUCUCCUAAAGUAGUCACUUCAACGGUGGUAACCGUCCUAGGUGGUGCAGUUACACCACGCAGAGUACCCCAAGACGAGCCUCCUCUACUCCUCCCGAGAACAGAUACUCAUGUACCGAGCUCCAAGAGAACUGUUCAUGUAGAAGAGUCGAUUUUCAAAGAGGACCCUGUUCGAGUAUCUCUAACGAAACCCGUAACGGUCCCCCUAGCUGAUGGAAGUAGUUCCCACACUCUACGUCUAAGAUGUAAAACUGUAGUUCGGUGUGUUGUAGGACGAACUAUCGUUAAAACAGGGUUUUGAACGACUAAAACCAGAGCGGUUCGACAUGGGUUCUUUGUUGUCAAAGCAUAGUAACUCGCAGGACGCGCCUUGUUAACCCAUGUAUCGAGGACUCUACUAUAGAUCCUCGAAACCGCAGUAUAGCUCGUUCAGACUACAAAUGUCGAAACCCUACGACGACGACCUCUACCGGUCACCUUCUUCCUUACGGCUGGGUUUACACCGCUUAAGUUCGGUCAGAAUGAUGGGCAGUACCCACAUACUGUCUGAUUGACUUGUUCUCCCCGCACUAUAUAGAGGGUAACUGUUGUACGUACUCAACCUCUUCUUCGACACGUACCAGCCUGAUACCACGUAGGUCUACUUCAGGGUACUGGCAGGUUGCUACUCACUCCAAUAUCUGUACAACCUUCCGCCACGGCUAUGGAACGUCUACGGAAGGUCCGGUAAGAAGACACUGCUCCCCGAGCAGGUAUGGUUACUAUGAAUAGUAAACAGGAGGCUCAACUGGCUUUAGAGACUCCUCCUAUACUCACUUUUAUAGCUACACACUACUCCAACAACGUGAAACGAACGUUUUCCGACUUCAAUACCAACAUAAUUUUAUUAACAAAAGCGGAGUACACUUGAAAAUACGCCUUCGUACAUUAUCCGUCCCUCGUCGAUCUCCUACCUCCACACAAGGAAGGUUGACGUCGUAGGUACUAUCAUUCCAAGAUUUUACUUUAGUAACAAGAAGUACCUUCUGUAUACAUAGAUAAACUUAGACUCGUAUAAUAAGCCGUCUGAUUAUAUAUCGAACACCUUAGACCCCACUAUAAACGUACGUACUUGGACGAUACUUCUCUGUUGUGACAAUUAAUCGUACAUUAUGACGUCACCUCGAUCACAUAAGAUAGUCCACGAAGAUAUCAAGAUCAGCUUCUGUCCAUCUAUAUCCCGUACUACUAAGUUUUUUAUUUUUCUUCUUACGUCUAGUGGUCGUUUCAGACAUAUCGCCUAAGUGAUUGAUACAAUCGUUAUUAAUUAUAUAUUUGACAACAGUGACGGCUGACAUGAUAAAACAAAACACAAGACUACUAUUUUGCCUAAAGGAAAAAGAAAAAGAAAAACUUGUGUCAAUCUGAUCUCCAAGGUACCACCGAACUUCUUCUCUUCUCCACUAUGUUUAUUUCACCACUAGAUGGCUACUAUCCACACAUAGACCAGGACCUCCUUAAGUCAACCGGUCUGGAGCCUUUACACACUUACGAUGAGAGAGUCGGCAGCACAACAAUGUUAAUACUCACACUGACCUCUGAGCGCCGCCAGGUCAGAGCCUAGUAGUAGCCAUUUACCGACGCUCCUUAACUUCUACUCUGCUCGGGAAAGUGAGGAUAGUUGGUGAUGUUUAGAAGACGUUCUCGGUUUCGAAGAGACGUGCGGUAGCGGAGCUCACACCGAUGUAGCUACUAAGGGGCCUGUUGGUUUCUCCUCGACGUGUUUAUAGCAGGUCGUAGUAGAGCCGUGUGACGCCUACAGCGAAGAGAGUUGAACCUAAAACGGUGCGAACGUAGCUGUACU